AUUCCGCCUGGGGAGUACGGUCGCAAGAUUAAAACUCAAAGGAAUUGACGGGGGCCCGCACAAGCAGCGGAGCAUGUGGUUUAAUUAGAAGCAACGCGAAGAACCUUACCUAGACUUGACAUCUCCUGAAUUACCCUUAAUGGGGGAAGCCCUUCGGGGCAGGAAGACAGGUGGUGCAUGGUUGUCGUCAGCUCGUGUCGUGAGAUGUUGGGUUAAGUCCCGCAACGAGCGCAACCCUUAUUGUUAGUUGCUACCAUUUAGUUGAGCACUCUAGCGAGACUGCCCGGGUUAACCGGGAGGAAGGUGGGGAUGACGUCAAAUCAUCAUGCCCCUUAUGUCUAGGGCUACACACGUGCUACAAUGGCUGGUACAGAGAGAUGCUAAACCGUGAGGUGGAGCCAAACUUUAAAACCAGUCUCAGUUCGGAUUGUAGGCUGAAACUCGCCUACAUGAAGCUGGAGUUGCUAGUAAUCGCGAAUCAGAAUGUCGCGGUGAAUACGUUCCCGGGCCUUGUACACACCGCCCGUCACACCAUGAGAGUUGGCAAUACCCAAAGUUCGUGAGCUAACGCGCAAGCGAGGCAGCGACCUAAGGUAGGGUC
rnacentral:rRNA from 1 species